rnacentral:misc_RNA from 1 species
AUAUUGUGUGUGAUCUGUGAUUGUGUGAUAUACCCUGUGGAUGUGGUGUAAAGUUCAAUUUAAAUUUUAAAUUCAAAUACAAAACAAAUAAUGAAAUUAAAAUGAUAAUUAUUAUUUUUAUAGUACAUUAAUAAUAACAAGUUAUAAUAGUAACAGUACAUGUAUAACAUAAUAUGCUAUUGAAAAUUAAAUCAUAGCAAUUUUAAAAUACUAGAUUUCAAUUUAAAAAAUCACACAAGAAUUAUUGUCAGUUAUCAUACAUCAUCAUAGCACAAUAAAAAUGAAUUCAAAUACUGAACUAACAACAGAUCAAGAAGUGUUGUUUGAACUGCGAGAAUCAUUUCUCCGGGCAGUCAUCAAUUUAAAAGGCACUCCCUGCAAAAUACUGACAUAUGAACAGUCAAGUCUUGAAGCAACAUUCUCAGAUUGGAACCCAAAUGGUUCAGAAAUAAUAGUAACUGAUCUCAAGACUCCUACAAACUCAACUAUGGCUUCAGCGAUCCUACGAACUCCAGAUAUAAUAGCAAUACAAUUUGAUAAUACUGUAGAAUAAUGUAAUUUGUAUACAAAUAAAAUAGAGUAUAAGUAUAU